GACGAACGCUGGCGGCGUGCCUAACACAUGCAAGUCGAACGGGCCUGUCUUCUUUUUUGGGGGUGGGUUGAGUGGCGAACGGGUGAGUAUCACGUGAGUAACCUGCCCUUCGGUCCUGGAUAACCGCUUGAAAGGGCGGCUAAUACGGGGUGGUCCGGUUGGUCCGCAUGGGCUGGUCGGGAUAGAUUCACUGUUUUUGGUGUUUCGGCGGGGGAUGGGCUCGCGGCCUAUCAGCUUGUUGGUGGGGUGAUGGCCUACCAAGGCGGUGACGGGUAGCCGGCCUGAGAGGGUGGGCGGCCACACUGGGACUGAGAUACGGCCCAGACUCCUGCGGGAGGCAGCAGUGGGGGGUAUUGCACAAUGGGCGGAAGCCUGAUGCAGCGACGUCGCGUGAGGGAUGGAGGCCUUCGGGUUGUGAACCUCUGUUUCCGGUGGUGAAGGCCCUGUCCGUGUGGUGGGGUUGACGGUAGCCGGGGAUGAAGCGCCGGCUAACUACGUG
rnacentral:rRNA from 1 species